GAUGAACGCUGGCGGCGUGCUUAACACAUGCAAGUCGAACGGAAAGGCCCAAGCUUGCUUGGGUACUCGAGUGGCGAACGGGUGAGUAACACGUGGGUGAUCUGCCCUGCACUUCGGGAUAAGCCUGGGAAACUGGGUCUAAUACCGGAUAGGACCACAUUUUGGAUGGUGUGGUGGAAAGUUUUUCGGUGUGGGAUGAGCUCGCGGCCUAUCAGCUUGUUGGUGGGGUAAUGGCCUACCAAGGCGUCGACGGGUAGCCGGCCUGAGAGGGUGUACGGCCACAUUGGGACUGAGAUACGGCCCAGACUCCUACGGGAGGCAGCAGUGGGGAAGAUUGCACAAGGGGCGCAAGCCUGAUGCAGCGACGCCGCGGGGGGGAUGACGGCCUUCGGGUUGUAAACUCCUUUCGCUAGGGACGAAGCGUUAUGUGACGGUACCUGGAGAAGAAGCACCGGCUAACUACGUG
rnacentral:rRNA from 1 species